CUACGGGAGGCACCAGUGGGGAAUAUUGCACAAUGGGCGCAAGCCUGAUGCAGCCAUGCCGCGUGUAUGAAGAAGGCCUUCGGGUUGUAAAGUACUUUCAGCGGGGAGGAAGGGAGUAAAGUUAAUACCUUUGCUCAUUGACGUUACCCGCAGAAGAAGCACCGGCAACUCCGUGCCGAGCAGCCGCGGUAAUACGGAGGGUGCAAGCGUUAAUCGGAAUUACUGGGCGUAAAGCGCACGCAGGCGGUUUGUUAAGUCAGAUGUGAAAUCCCCGGGCUCAACCUGGGAACUGCAUCUGAUACUGGCAAGCUUGAGUCUCGUAGAGGGGGGUAGAAUUCCAGGUGUAGCGGUGAAAUGCGUAGAGAUCUGGAGGAAUACCGGUGGCGAAGGCGGCCCCCUGGACGAAGACUGACGCUCAGGUGCGAAAGCGUGGGGAGCAAACAGGAUUAGAUACCCGGGUAGUC
rnacentral:rRNA from 1 species